rnacentral:lncRNA from 1 species
CUAAUGUAACUUUUAAUGAAAACAUUUGCCCUCUCCUUAUAGCCCAGGAGGCUUCUGGAGGCCAGAGUGCCACAGUACCAUCACAACCAAGCAGUGAGAACUUGGGCAAAUUCACCUCAGAAAUCACUCUAGUGACCCCAGAAAUUAAACCUGGAAAGAGCAUGCAUGGGAGUGUGUUGUUACCCAAAAGCAAGCCAGAGAGCCACAGUUCUGGGUCACAGAAGCAGCACCACCAGCACCAAUCUGAAACACCACAGAUUCCCUCCAGCCCGCUCCUGGGGCCCACCCAGCGCCGGCUCAGUGUCAGCGCCAGUAUCGGAGGGGAGACUGGGCUGACAAGCUGCGUGUUCCCCGAUGAGCUUCUGACGCAGAUCUUGACUGAGCGGAUACAGCUGAGCGACUGCUACCAAGGAGUGGUGUUUGAUGGCCUUGACACCCUCUUCUCUUGGAGCACGACUGCUGCCCUCCGGUGCCUGCUGAAGGCCAUUGGCAGCCGUGAGCACAUCUAUGUUCUCAACAUGGCCCAGGAUUUCAUGGACAUGAAGGCCCAGGAGAAGGCCAGAAAGGAGCAAGAAGGCAAGGCCCCCCAACCUUCCCGGGCUGUCCCUCCAGGGCUCUCACUGGUCUUUCCUUUCCUUGGGGCCUUGGGCUUUUCAACCUGACUGGAUAAUCCACUGGGUUUCAAUGUAGUUUUUACACUUCCU